rnacentral:rRNA from 1 species
GAUGAACGCUGGCGGCGUGCCUAAUACAUGCCAGUCGAGCGAACAGACGAGGAGCUUGCUCCUCUGACGUUAGCGGCGGACGGGUGAGUAACACGUGGAUAACCUACCUAUAAGACUGGGAUAACUUCGGGAAACCGGAGCUAAUACCGGAUAAUAUAUUGAACCGCAUGGUUCAAUAGUGAAAGACGGUUUUGCUGUCACUUAUAGAUGGAUCCGCGCCGCAUUAGCUAGUUGGUAAGGUAACGGCUUACCAAGGCAACGAUGCGUAGCCGACCUGAGAGGGUGAUCGGCCACACUGGAACUGAGACACGGUCCAGACUCCUACGGGAGGCAGCAGUAGGGAAUCUUCCGCAAUGGGCGAAAGCCUGACGGAGCAACGCCGCGUGAGUGAUGAAGGUCUUCGGAUCGUAAACCUCUGUUAUUAGGGAAGAACAAAUGUGUAAGUAACUAUGCACGUCUUGACGGUACCUAAUCAGAAAGCCACGGCUAACUACGUG